ACUAUACAUAUUUAUUUAAUUAAACAUCUUUAUUACUAACUACAAUAUUACAACUACAUUAUCCAUGAAUAGAUACAAAACCAAGAUUAUGACCAACUCCUAGAAAAAAACUGUUAGGCUAAGAUCAAAUAUACUGGAAUAUGUAGAUGAAUACAUAUAUCUAGGACUAACAAUAUCACCAACAGAUCAAACAUCAAAAGAAGUAGAAAGAAAGAAAUGCGUAUUGCAUUUCUGGAAAAGAUACUAGUCUCUAAAGGAAAUUAUGAAAAACAAAGAUAAUACCAUAUCUGAAAAAGCCAAAGCAUUCAAUGUAUGCAACCUUCCAUGUCUGACUUAUGACUACCAGACAUGGGGUCUGACUGAGAAAACUUUAAGAUUAUUCAAAAUAUUAUGGAGAGAAAGUAUGCUUAAAAUUAAAAAAAGAGUUAAAAUCAGGCUCUCUACUAUUAGAAACAGGACAAAAGUAAGGAAUUUGUCAGUCACCAUUAAAAAACUGAAGUGGUAAUUAAAGAGCACGAGAGACAAGAGAAAUAAGUGGACUUAUGGAAUGGUACCCAAGAACGGGAAAAAGAUGAGGAUGACAUUUGAGAAAAAGCAGGAAAUACAUGGAGAAGAAAAGCCAAAGAAAGACUUAUAUGGAGAACCCUGGAGUUGCCUAAGGGCAAACUGAAAGAAGAGGAAAAAAAAAAACAAAACACCACUGUCAACAAAUAUAUUAUAAUAUACACAGCAUUAACGUAAUUUAAUUCAAUGGAAUUCAGUGAAUAAAGGCUUAACAUAUUAUUAUACAAUAUUACAAAAUAAUAAAAAUACAGUGUACACUAAUAACUAAAAAGCCAUACUAUAAUAUACUAAGUGACAGAUGAUUAGGUAUGGUCUACUUACUAGGCAGAUGCUAUCUAUAUGCAGUUCUCACCACCCCUAGUUGCACUAGGUACCUAGUAGUCUGGCUUUAGUUGUGUUUAACAUAUUUAACUGUUUACUUAUGACCAUAGGAACAUUGAAAUAUUUUACCUAAUAAAUACUUAUAAUAUGCUAAAAUGCUAAAUAUACGCAGCCAACUUUGUAUUAAGAACUAGCAUUAUGUCUCACCUAAACAUCAUAAUAAAAAAUUACAUUUUCAUCAUCACCAACCCAUGACCGGUUUAUUACCAAGCACAGCUUUCCUAUUAGAAGGAGAAGGCCAUAAUCCACCAUGCUGGCCAAGUGCGGAUUUGCAGACUCUACACACCUUUGAGAACAUUACAAAGAACUCUCAGCCAUGCAGGUUGUUUACCUUCACCGUUAAAGCAAAUGAUAUAUUCAAUUGCCUAAAAAUCACAUAACUACAGUAAAAGGCCGGGAUCGAACACCCAACCUUGGGGAAGAAGUCUUAAGGA